UAUAAUUAUAUAAAUAACAGAAUAUUAUUAUAAAUACUCUAUAUAAUAUAAUAAUGUAAUAUAGAAAUAAUAGAGUAUUAUUAAUACUCUAUUUAUAUAUUUAUACAUUUAUAUUUAUAUAUUAAAACUUCCCUUGUGUAAUAUGCUCAGAAGUGGAAUUUCUGAAUCAAAGAGUAGGUAAAAUUUCUAGAUAAAGUCAAAUAGCUUUAAAAAAAAAUUUUUUUUUGAGACAGUCUCGCUCUGUCACCAGGCACUAGGCUGGAGUGCAGUGGCACAAUCUUGACUCACUGCAACCUCUGCUCCCAGGUUCAAGCAAGGGAGUGUCCUGCCUCAGCCUUCCGAGUAGCUGGGGUGGGUGCCACCAUGCCCAGCUAAUUUUUGUAUUUUUUAGUAGAGACAGGGUUUCACCAUGUUGGCCAGGAUGUUCUCGAUCUCUUGACCUCGUGAUGCACCCGCCUCGGCCUCCCAAAGUGCUGGGAUUACAGGCGUAAGCCACUAUGCCUGGCCAGCUUUUCAAAAUAUAAAUGCAAUUUAGAUGCUUAUUGGCAGUGAUUGAGAAUUUUACAUCCUGCAAGAAAUUCCAUAACAUAAAGCCUUUUAAUUUGUACUGACAUGUUGAAUGUAUUGUUACAUGUUAUUUAUUUCACAUGUUAUUUCUUUCACUGUGAAUAAGGACCUUUUCACAUAUUAGUUGCAAUUUUCAUUUCUAAUUUUUUGAAGGCUUUAAAAAAAUUUUUUUGAUACCAGUUUUCUCUUUUGGUUCUUACUGACUUUUAACACCAACUGCCUAUGACUCUGUUAGGUGCUCCUGUUUUUAAAGACCAUGCAGCUAUUUCUUCCCCCUAAUGUCCUACUUCCUCUUUGGCUCAGCAGCUCGGCACCAUUGGGGACUGAACCUCUGUCUACUAAACAAGUUUAAGAAAGAAAACAAGUUUGAGAAAAUUCUUAAUACAUGUAAAGGUUGGAUUAGUUGUCCUGGCUGAGAUGGAAACAGCUGUUCCCCCUGCCAGCAACUUAAACAUUCCUACAAGUUUAACCAAUGUAAGCUUGGGACAUCCUGGUCUAUCCACUGUUACUGUUUGUUAUUUUUCCUCUUCCCCACAGGCUUCCCUCUGGGAUCCACUGUGCGGUCUGAAACCAAGGGCAUCUGGAUGUGGUGUGUGCCCCACCCUUCCAAGCCAGACCACACCCUGGUCCUUCUGGACACUGAGGGCCUGGGCGAUGUGGAAAAGGGUAACCCAAAGAAUGACUC
rnacentral:lncRNA from 13 species